rnacentral:tRNA from 1 species
UCCUUGGUGGCUCUGAUGGUAAAGAAUCUGCCUGCAAUGCAGGAGACCUGGGUUUGAUCCCUGGAUAGGGAA